GACGAACGCUGGCGGCGUGCCUAAUACAUGCAAGUCGAACGCAGUGGGGACGGGUGAGUAACACGUGGGUAACCUCCCAUCAGAGGGGAUAACACUUGGAAACAGGUGCUAAACCGAUACUGAUGGAUGGACCCGUGGUGCAUUAGCUAGUUGGUGAGGUAACGGCUCACCAAGGCCACGAUGCAUAGCCGACCUGAGAGGGUGAUCGGCCAAACUGGGACUGAGACACGGCCCAGACUCCUCAGGUAGGCAGCAGUAGGUAAUCGUCGGCAAUGGACGAAAGUCUGACCGAGCAACGACGCGGGAGUGAAGAAGGUUUUCGGAUUGUAAAAUGCUGUUGGUAGAGAGGCGGUAUCUAAACAGAAAGCCACGGCUAACUACGUGCCAGCAGCCGCGGUAAUAC
rnacentral:rRNA from 1 species